UACGGAGGGGGCUAGCGUUGUUCGGAAUUACUGGGCGUAAAGCGCGCGUAGGGGGCUUUGCAAGCAAGGGGUGAAAUGCCUGAGCUCAACUUGGGAAUUGCCUUUGGGACUGCGAGGCUUUGAGGACGGGAGAGGUGAGUGGAAUUCCCAGUGUAGAGGUGAAAUUCGUAGAUAUUGGGAAGAACACCGGUGGCGAAGGCGGCUCACUGGCCCGUUUCUGACGCUGAAGCGCGAAAGCGUGGGGAUCAAACAGG
rnacentral:rRNA from 1 species